AACGUGGCGGUGCUACACCGCAAGUUGAACGAGACUUCGGGCUCUAGUGGCGCACGGGUGCGUAACGCGUGGGAAUCUGCCCUUAGUGUUCGGAAUAACUCAGGGGAAACUUGAGCUAAUACCGGAUAAUGACGUAAGUCCAAAGAUUUAUCGCCUAAGGAUGAGCCCGCGUAGGAUUAGCUUGUUGGUAGAGGUAAAAGCUCACCAAGGCGACGAUCCUUAGCUGGUCUAGAGAGGAUGAUCAGCCACACUGGGACUGAGACACGGCCCAGACUCCUACGGGAGGCAGCAGUGGGGAAUAUUGGACAAUGGGCGAAAGCCUGAUCCAGCAAUGCCAGCGUGAGUGAUGAAGGCCUUAGGGUUGUCAAAGCGUCUUUUACCCGGGAUGAUAAUGACAGUACCGGGAGAAUAAGCUCCGGCUAACUCCGUGCCAGCAGCCGCGGUAAUACGGAGGGAGCUAGCGUUGAUUCGGAAUUACUGGGCGUUUAUAGCGCACGUAGGCGGCUUUGUAAGUUAGAGGUGAAAGCCCGGAGCUCAACUCCGAGAACUGCCUUUAAGACUGCAUCGCUUGAAUCCGGGAGAGGUGAGUGGAAUUCCGAGUGUAGAGGUGAAAUUCGUAGAUAUUCGGAAGAACACCAGUGGCGAAUGCGGGUCACUGGACCNGUAUUGACGCUNAGGUGCGAAAAGCGUGGNGAGCAAACAGGAUUAGAUUCCCUGGUAGUCCACGCCC
rnacentral:rRNA from 1 species